rnacentral:rRNA from 1 species
UACGUAGGGUGCGAGCGUUAAUCGGAAUUACUGGGCGUAAAGCGCACGUAGGCGGAUAUUUAAGUCAGGGGUGAAAUCCCGGAGCUCAACUCCGGAACUGCCUUUGAUACUGGGUAUCUUGAGUAUGGAAGAGGUAAGUGGAAUUGCGAGUGUAGAGGUGAAAUUCGUAGAUAUUCGCAGGAACACCAGUGGCGAAGGCGGCUUACUGGUCCAUUACUGACGCUGAGGUGCGAAAGCGUGGGGAGCAAACAGG